GCUGGGUGUAGUGGUGGGCACCUGUAAUCCCAGCUACUUGGGAGGCUGAGGCAGGAGAAUCGCUUGAACCUGGGAGAUAGAGGUUGCAGUGAGCCGAAACCGUGCCACUGCAUUCCAUCCUAGGUGACAGAGCGAGACUCGGUCUCAA
rnacentral:SRP_RNA from 1 species